rnacentral:rRNA from 1 species
CAGUAGCCGCGGUAAUACGUAGGUGGCAAGCGUUGUCCGGAAUUAUUGGGCGUAAAGGGCUCGCAGGCGGUUUCUUAAGUCUGAUGUGAAAGCCCCCGGCUCAACCGGGGAGGGUCAUUGGAAACUGGGAAACUUGAGUGCAGAAGAGGAGAGUGGAAUUCCACGUGUAGCGGUGAAAUGCGUAGAGAUGUGGAGGAACACCAGUGGCGAAGGCGACUCUCUGGUCUGUAACUGACGCUGAGGAGCGAAAGCGUGGGGGGCGAACAGGAUUAGAGACCCCGGUAGUCCCUGUCUCUUAUAC